AUACAAUCGAGAAUGAACAGUGAUACGUACAUUUGGAAGUGUGCCGAAGCAAGCGUAUCUCGCUUAGAUGCUUAUAUACUAUUAACGGGAGGUGAACUCAGUGACGAUGUGAUCGAUGCAUUUGUUAUUCGGCUUUGUAACAAGAUUGAAG